UAUGUAUCAAGUUUUUUGCAAAAAAACAACAAGUAGAUAAAAUGUAACUGAAAUUAAUAAAGAAACAUGAACGAAUCAAGAGUUAUAUGGCAAAUAGUUACAUAAGCCAUGAAAAAAUACAUUUAAGUGCUUUGUAACGUGAAUGGAAAAUAUUAGAGGGAAAAAGGAAAGCAUUAACAAUGAUGAUAAGAAAGAAAGCGGAUUAUGAUAUUAGCAGACAAUAUCACAUGCAUGUAAAAAACUGCUUAACAUGUAUGCAGACACAACUACCGAGCAUUGAAAUUUUUUGAAUUUGAAAAAGAAUUGUUUGUUGGUGUAAAUGAAGACAUAAAAAAAAUCUUUCAAUAAUUCAGUUAAAGUCUUCAAACUUUAAUGAACUAACUCUGAAAAAAUAACUUGAUAUUAAAUUAAAAAAAAAAAAAAAAAA